rnacentral:lncRNA from 1 species
AAUUUUAUUUGAAAUAAUUAUUCACAGAUUUCUCAUUUGCUAUAAAAAAACGUUGAUUGCUCUACACAUGUCCUUAUAUAAUUUUCACCGAUGUUUUUUUCACCUUAUUAUUCGCAAGUUUUCCAUUUUUCAUAUACUAAAGAGAAGUGGAAAGAUAUAAAUGCAGUUUUCUAAAAAUGACUCUUUUACAAUAAUCUGGAGAUUACUUGUGUCUUUGAUGACAAUCUGGAUAAAAUUGUGUUUGCAUGUAUUGUAUUUAUCUUCUUUACUAGACGUUUUUCCAACCGAAACCUGAAUUUUUAUAAUAUUCAUCAAACUCUCUCAAAUGAAUCUACUGAAAAUACUUUUGCCACACUAGAACAAACUGCCUCUCGACACUUAUUUCGCUUAUCAAUUAUAUUUUCUUCUUUUCUCUGGACGUUUUUCACACUGUACGUAUAAUGGUGGUGAAGGAGAAACCCACAAAACUAAUCUCUCAAAAAUAUCCUCUUCUCAAUUCAAAUGAAUUUGACUUAACUAUCCUUAUGUCAUUGCGACAAAAGCAGAAGUGUCUUUUUCGGUGACAUACAAUCGUAAUUUUAUGAAAGAAAUUAAUGCUUCGUUUUCAAAGUAAUCCAAAAAGGUGCUUAUGUGGAAUUGCAAGUAAUUGUUUUCGCCCAAAACUUCGAAGCACAUCUAGUGAUUGAUAGUUUCCAUAGGAAGUGAAUGAAAAGGAACUGAUGAAGCAUGAGAAAAUACGUAGCAGCCGACUGAGUCAACGGACGCUGUUUUAUUGAUCUGUUUGGGUGAAUUACAGCCAUGAAUGAUUCCUAGGGAGAUAUUCCCCUCUUCUCAGUUCGGCAUUUUCGCAAGGUUCCAUUUCCUUUCAGCAGCGUUGAUCUUCAAUAAUUCAUAACGGAAUAGAACAGAAACAAUUCAGUAUUCGAUAUAAAAGAAGCUGCUCUAGUAGUAUAUAAAUCUUAGCGAAGUUUAGCGUCUGAUUGUUUUUUUUUAUUUUGGUAAAUUCUCUCAAAUAUCAAGAGCUAUCACCGUUCUACAACAAACGUUGUGUGUACUUUUUUUUUCAUCUCAGAAAAACUGAAUUACGUUCGUUCACACACACAUACCACCUGUAUUUUCAAAGGAUAUCAUUUUGCGUAACAUGACUUCACUGGUACUGCAUUUUGACAAAUAGUUUAGGGCGACUUUUGCCGCUAGAAGGCGCUGCAAAACUCUAGGAGAAUAAAGAGGUUACCAUGGGAUAUGCAUAUGUUGUAGAUAGUGUUUGUAUUUUUAUAAUGAGCUUUUAAUAUUCAGUUAUCAGAAACUAGAUUGAACUUUCAUUUUAUUCUAACUUUUAUGUCGGACAACUGCAAUAUGUUAGAUAAUUUCUAAUACAUACACAUACAUACAUGAGUUUGCCGAUGGAUUAAUCGAUUUGGAGUAUUAUUUUUCAUUUCUUUGCUAGAUCUCGACCACUCCGUAGUCUCUCAGAAUAAAUAUCAGAUUUUGAAGACAAAAAUCAAUAAAGUUGAAAACAUUGAAGCACCAAGUAACGGUGAAAUCAUAUUGCGCAAAAUUGUAUAGAUAAAAAUUUUCCUGGACUUUGUAGGUGAUACUGGUUUUGAUUGUUUCAUGAUAAAUGAUUCCAUGAACACAGUUUUUUGUUUUAAUGUUUUUUUUCCAAUCAAUAUAAUACCAAUAAACAAAAGCAUGAGGAUCGACUUCUGAAAUCUUUCGAGAACUAUCCACCAUCUGUGCAAAGUGAUAACAUCGGGGUAUGGGAAGGCAUUUCCGAUCAUCACAGUCUGUUAAAGAGGUUCUGUUCGAGCGCAAAAAUUGGGUAUUUUAGAGUGGACAUUGCGGCAUGGCGCAUUAACAGUGCACAACAAUCAUCUACAACAUGAGCAAAUAUUUAUAAAAAACUAUUUCUGAAACAACUCAUGCAGCGCGUAACAACAGAUAUUGUGCAGAAAUGUGUAGGUAUGGCCAGCCUCAGAAGUGAAAAGUGAGUUGAGGCAUCUACGGGGCUGGCAACAAACAGGACUAGAUCAAUAACUUGCGCCCGCCGCUUAAACGGGGCUUUUUUCCGUAAAACCAGGAAAAUGUGCUGAAGACGCUGAGACAUGAUUUUACUCUCAAUGUUCAUAAUUAUCCGUUACCAAUUCUGGUAGUCUAUUGAUAUUCCUAAUCUAAGUUGAUAUGCCAGGAAAUACAAAUUCCAGAUCAAAAACUUAUGGAAUAUAGCAAUCAGGAGUUGGCCACUUACCGAUUGAGAUGGCAAAAAUCUUAAUUUUGGCAAAAACUGAUUGUCAAUGAAUACAGCGUAUAUUUUCCUGGUCGGUGACAAAUGAAGCUAGGGUAGGUGUGCAGUGUUUUGUGAUGAACAUAGAAACUUACUACAUAUUUACACUCUCCACCUGAAUCCAAUAGAGUUAUGUUCCCUAGAUUAAUUGACAUGAAGGUAAACGUAACAUAUUCAAGUGACAGAUCAAUAAAUUGGGACCAAGAAUCCAAGUUUGGUUGUGCGUGUGUCGAAGAAAACUUUUGAGAAAAAUCUCAUAGUGACCAUGGCGAAAAAACUCAUCUACUUAUCAUUCAAUACUGAGGUUGACGAAAUGAACAAGUGGAUAUCCUAAUCCGAGAUAUCGACUUGAUAUACUACUCGAGUUUUUUAGUAAAGAUAUAUUCAAUUUGAUGUAUAAAUGAAUAUCAAAGGGUUUUUGCCAUAUACCCCUGCAGAACUAUUUUCAAUUAACUACUGUUCAAAAUGCUUUUCGAUAACCUCAUGACGAACCCAAUCAAGACUAACAGUGUGGAGGUCUUAAUCAUCUACCUUCUUCAGACAAUAAGUGCUGUCAGGUAUUCAUAAGUAACAAUCUGUAACUAAUUCGUUCUGUUCUUGACAUACUGAGAUGAAGAUAAUUUUAUUAUGAACACGACAAAGUCUUAUAGUUGCAGAAAUUUCAAGUUUCAAAGACCCAAUAAAAGACCUCAGUGCGAAGGAUUAUACGUAGAAACUCAUUCAAAUUAUGAAUUGUGGUCUUAGUAUUAUGUUCACAAUGAAAUUACGUAUGUUUCAAUAUUUUAAUGUAUAAUUUUACACCAGAAAACCUUGUUAAAGAGUAGGCAACUAUAUUUUCGCAUUUUACUAAGAUCUUUCUUUCAGUCUUGACGGGUGCUCGAUAGGAAUUAUGAUAAAAUAUAUAAUCAAAUAUUCAAUUACAGGUAGUUUUGUUUGGAUAUAGGGCAGAAGGUUAUCACCUUUCUUUGUUUGUACAUUAUAUUGUGAAAAUAUACAUUUGAUUACGAAAUUCGACAAGGGAUGUUCUUCUAUCUAGUUUGGAUUCCAGAUAUCUUGCCAGUGGGACGAUAAAUCUAAAAACAAACCAUUCUUGGCCACAAUUCGUUGGGUUUCUGGCAAUUGCUUUAUCACUAAGAAGAUCUUUACCAGAAAAGAUGUGUUGUUUAAUUCAGUCUUACCGAAAACGUUAUGCUUUUAACUCAGACAUACUGAGAAACUGCCUACUUAAUUUUACUUCAAAAUAUACUACGCUACUAAUACUAAUGACUAUGAUACGAAAAAAAUCACACAUGCCUAUACUAGGUAUAUAGGUUUUGCUUAUUUGGGCCCAAGGAAGAUUGUUCAAACAAGUUCUUCAACAUUACACAAGCUUUUCCGUAAGGAAUAAUAUCAUCACACUUACUUCUAAGUACAAAAGUACAGUAGGUCUGUAUAGAAAGGGAGGCUGUAAUACAGCUGUGCCGUGCUACCUUGAGGCUCAGGAAAGGGAUUUGGAAGAGAUUGGAGGCAAUCACCAAGAUGGAUCGAACGAGGUAGAUUCAGAUCAACCAAGUUUCCGCAUGCGUUUCAGAGUGAAAAUAUCUGAGACUAAUAUAUGUCAACCCUCACAACUUUACCAGUGUGAUUCAUGAAGUGUAUAUAUUUUUUUGCAAUCGAAAGUAGGUAUAUAUCCGAUAACCACAUGAGAUAUGCUUAGAAUGGUUUCAACUACCAUAAAUAGGAAAUGAAAGUAUUCCUGAAAUAGUUCUACUUUUGUCAAUCACUUUCUGUAACGUUUGGGGAUAUAGUUUUAUUGUGAAAUUGAUGAAACAAAUUCACAAUUACUGCACAGUUAAUGAACUACACAGUACUAGGUGAGGUCAUUAAGGAAACUUGACUCAUCAGAAAACCUCUGGCCAUUCGACUAUACGCAAGAAAAAAUAAAUAAAAAACUAAUUGAAAACUGCAAGAAAUGGUAUUAUUAAUUAAAAAAAGCAUUUACAACAAAAAAUCAAAGAAAAACAAAACAAUGUACAUUUAAUUUAAGAACAAUUUUACCAUUAAACUAAUAUAUAAUAACAACAGGUUUAAAAAAUGUAGUAAUAAAAAACGGAGCGCCGUGUUGCAUCCAGUGUUCUCAUUCCGAGUCUUCCGCGUUUCAAGGUGCCCAUCCCAGGACGUCCAAGAACGAUACAAAAAAAUGUGUACUCCGAACAUGACACUUUAAAACAACAUAUAACACUUAUCGAAUGGGCACCAGGAAAGAGGCGGCCGGUGAGCCUGGAUACCGCAGGGAUCUCUAAUUGAGGGCUGGCAUUUGGAUUGAGAUCGCUCAGCCCUCGCGAAAUUGCGAUCAAUCGCCUCCUGAUCUCAAAAAACAACAAUGAUAUAAUUUAAAUAAUAAUAAGAUAUAAAUUAUUGUAAAAAAACUCGAGUUCCAUCGAGAAAAAAAUCACGGGGAUUGAUUCUGGAUAAAACAAACAAAAAAACAAAUACUGAUAAAAUGUAUCCAUCGCACCCACACGAUGUACAAAACAAGUUAUAUCGCAGCAUUAUCAGUCGUAACAAAAGAAGUGGGUAUCGACAGAUGGAAGUUGAUUUAGCAUUAAGCUAGUCGGACAAGACGCACGAACUUCAACUGUUGGCUGUAUUGUGCUAUCAAGCCCAUGAUUUUAUUCCGAGGGCAGAAAAAAAUAAAAAAAAUAAAUGAACGAGAACCUAGCUACUAAGUAUAUAGUCUUGAAUGGCGCAAAUCGGCCCAGGAAUACGAGAGCUCGUACGUGCCCUCGAGUUCGAUAUCUUAAACUUGGCAGCAUUAACAAACAAAUAUAUUACUACAAAAAACUACAACUAAUUAAAAAAAUAGAGAUGGUGAAGAGAUGCUUGCAUGCACCACACUUACUAAUAUUACUUGUGAAUAACAAAACUAAAAAUAAACAUAAACAAUGCCGACAACGGUCGAUCCCGAGCGGCUGGAAAUAAGGGCACACGGCACGCGGUCGUAUUUCAUCGAUAAUAUAAACAUCCACAAGUGGGGGAUAAAGAGAGAACAAUAAAAAAAGAUCUAA